AGUGAACGCUGGCGGUAGGCCUAACACAUGCAAGUCGAACGGCAGCACAGUAAGAGCUCGCUCUUACGGGUGGCGAGUGGCGGACGGGUGAGGAAUACAUCGGAAUCUACUUUUUCGUGGGGGAUAACGUAGGGAAACUUACGCUAAUACCGCAUACGACCUACGGGUGAAAGCAGGGGAUCUUCGGACCUUGCGCGAUUGAAUGAGCCGAUGUCGGAUUAGCUAGUUGGCGGGGUAAAGGCCCACCAAGGCGACGAUCCGUAGCUGGUCUGAGAGGAUGAUCAGCCACACUGGAACUGAGACACGGUCCAGACUCCUACGGGAGGCAGCAGUGGGGAAUAUUGGACAAUGGGCGCAAGCCUGAUCCAGCCAUACCGCGUGGGUGAAGAAGGCCUUCGGGUUGUAAAGCCCUUUUGUUGGGAAAGAAAAGCAGCAGGUUAAUACCCCGCUGUUCUGACGGUACCCAAAGAAUAAGCACCGGCUAACUUCGU
rnacentral:rRNA from 1 species